GCUGGGCAUGGUGGCGGGUGCCUGUAAUCCCAGCUACUCGGGAGGCUGAGGCAGGAGAAUUGCUGGAGCCCAGGAGGCGGAGGUUGUGGUGAGCCAAGAUCACACCACUGCACUCCAGCCUGGGUGACAGAGCGAGACCCUGUCUCAA
rnacentral:SRP_RNA from 1 species